AGAACAGAGAAUUCUACUGAGAAGACCUGUGCGAUGUACAGCCCUCAAAAUCCAGAAGCAUCGCAGCCUCAGAAAGAAGAAAUUAUUUACAACUCAAGUUUCUGCAACAUGAUUCAAGGAACAUCCCCCCCAUAUAAAACCAACUAACAAAGAGAUGUGGCUAUCCCACAUCUGAGAGAGAAAAUGUGGCAAAGCUCCGUCACCUAGAAGCAGGGUUUGCAGAGGGAAACAUUCCUGCCAUGCCUCAGGAAACCCAGAAGCUGGUUUCAGAUAGCUAAGACAAUAAUACCAAUUGAGAACCACCAUUUUGACCUUUCACAUAUUGCAAAGACAGUGAGAAUUAUAAAGUCCUCAAAGAGCUAUUCUAACAGCAAAUUCUGGAUGUACUGUGAAUCAUAAAUCAAUUUUAAGUAUUUUCCCAUUAUGUACAUCAUCUGUCAACUGACUAAGAAACCAUAAUUAGACACACUUUAUAUUAAACUAAAUCACAAAAUGGUAACUUGGCUACACCUUCUGCUAUGAUCUGAAGUGUGUCCCCUGCAAAACCAAACUGAUGAACACACCUUUCCUGGGUCGGUAUCACAUCCCUACCUGGACUGAAGAGCCCAGCGCCAGAGAACCCCAGGCAACCUCUCUGUCCUGAUGCCAUCAGCUAAGUGGUUGGGCCUGGGCCUUUAGGAAUGGCCUUUUAUUACCAGACAGCAGCUCACUGUGAUACAAACUCCCACCAUCACCCCAAGGCCGGUCUCAGGAAUCCAAGGCAUUUAUUUUGUAACCUCAAUUUAAAAUACUCUUUUUACUUUUGUAGAGGGAACUGAAGACAAGCAAGAUAGUACUAGCAGAGGAAAUUUGCCAUUAUUUGUUUUAAAAUUUAUUUAUUAGAAAAUAAAAAUCUGUGAGCUAAUCAGGGACCUGCAUCUUUAACUCUGACCAACUCCACAUGGUUUUGAUAAAACAUUUCCUCCUAUAAAUCACAGCAAAGCAAAGUACAUCAGGCAACAUACGAAAAAAAGAAAGGAUUCCCACCUGCCUGUAUGUGUCCUGGUGAACUUCGUCGUUCCUAGAAUCGUAAUAGUGCUCAAUAAAUGCAAAAUAUUCUUUUUGUUU